GAAAUUUUUGUUAAUUGUUCUUUUGCCGUAAAAAGUCAAGAGCAUUCACUUAGGGUGAGUAAAAGAUAAGUUGCGGAGAACGAAAAUGAGAAUCGGUAAGUGCCACAACUCUUGAAUAACCGAGCAAGCAUUGAAAAAAAUAAGAAAAGAGAAACAUCUGCUUAUGUAUACAAUGUGAAAAGAAAAAGAAAAAAAAUAGGAAAAU
rnacentral:lncRNA from 1 species